GGUGAACGAAAUCACGGCCAUUGUAAUGCUCCACUCUUGAUCCAUCAUAGUCAACGAAUUUGUAUCAAUUGGACGUGUCCACCCAUCAGCCACAGACCAAAGCAAUGAGGUCAUAGCCUACAUCGUACCAAAAUCGUAGGACAAAAGCUGAUAUUUUCCAGUCUUAGUCUUAGCUAGGGGGUGUCUACCCCUACCCCCAAACAACAAAAACAAACAAAUUUUAGAGAAAACCUCUC
rnacentral:lncRNA from 1 species